rnacentral:rRNA from 1 species
UCCGUAGGUGAACCUGCGGAAGGAUCAUUCACAAUGAGUGUUUUAUGGCACUCUUUAAAAAUCCAUAUCCACCUUGUGUGCAAUGUUUGUUGGGAGAGAGGCAACUCUUUCCCUUCACAAAUAUCAACCUAUAUCUUUAACAACAUUCGUUUGAUAACAUAUUAUGAAUAUACUUAAUUCAAAAUAUAACUUUCAACAACGGAUCUCUUGGCUCUCGCAUCGAUGAAGAACGCAGCGAAAUGCGAUACGUAAUGUGAAUUGCAGAAUUCAGUGAAUCAUCGAAUCUUUGAACGCAUAUUGCGCUCUUUGGUAUUCCGAAGAGCAUGCUUGUUUGAGUAACAGUAAACACCUCAACCUCCUCUUGUUUUUUCAAAAGGAGGGUGGACUUGAGCUAUCCCAACAACCUUCACCGGUAGGCGGGCGGCUUGAAAUGCAGGUGCAGCUGGACUUUUAUCUGAGCUAAAAGCAUAUCUAUUUAGUCCUCGUCAAACAGGAUUAUUACUAUUGCUGCAGCUAACAUAAAGGAUAAUUGUCCUCAUUGCUGACUGAUGCAGGAUUUUACGACACUUUAUGUGUUGUUCAACUCGAUCUCAAAUCAAGUAAGACUACCCGCUGAACUUAAGCUCAUCAAUAAGCGGAGGA